rnacentral:rRNA from 1 species
GAUGAACGCUGGCGGCGUGCUUAAUACAUGCAAGUCGAACGGACAGACGAUGCUUUUGUGGGGUGCUCGAGUGGCGAACGGGUGAGUAAAACGUGAGUAACAUGCCCUUGUAUUUGGGAUAAAUUCAGGAAAAUGGGGAUAAUAUCGGGUAGGAGAUCCUGCUGCAUGGUGGGGGAUGGUAAGUUACGGUGGUUGGGGAUGGUAUCGCGGCUUAUGAGCUUGUUGGUGGGGUAGUGGCUUACCAAGGUUUUGACGGGUACCCGGCCUGAGAGGGUGACCGGCCACAUUGGGACUGCGAUACGGCCCAGACGCCUACGGGAGGCAGCAGGGGGGAAUAUUGCACAAUGGGCGGAAGCCUGAUGCAGCAACGCCGCGUUCGGGAUGACGGCCUUCGGGGUGUAAACCGCUUUCGCCGUAGACGAAGCGUGAGUGACGGUAAUGGGUAAAGAAGCACCGGCUAACUACGUG